rnacentral:tRNA from 1 species
GGUGACUCAGUGGUAGAGUGCUUGCCUUGAAUGCAUGAGGCUCUGGGUUCGAUCCCUCAGCACCA